rnacentral:lncRNA from 1 species
UUCGAUAAAUCCUUCUUUAUCAAUUACUUUAUAGUUCUAAGUACUUCAUCACAACAUAAAAGUUCUAACAAGGAAGAUAUAACUUUAUGAUGAAAGAUGCCAAAAUAACUUUUAUUCAAUGAUUAAAUGAUUCAUAUACAUAUUACAAAAGGAGCAUAAUUAUCCAUACGAUUGGCUUUAAGAUACAUUUCCUAAUAUUUUUUGCUGCUGGUGGUGUGGAGAAGAUAGAG